UACGUAGGGGGCAAGCGUUGUCCGGAAUUAUUGGGCGUAAAGAGCGCGUAGGCGGCCUUCUAAGUCGAACGUGAAAUCCCCCGGCUUAACCUGGGAACUGCGUCUGAUACUGGAAGGCUUGAGUAUGGGAGAGGGAUGUAGAAUUCCAGGUGUAGCGGUGAAAUGCGUAGAUAUCUGGAGGAAUACCGGUGGCGAAGGCGGCAUCCUGGACCAUUACUGACGCUGAGGCGCGAAAGCUAGGGGAGCAAACGGG
rnacentral:rRNA from 1 species